rnacentral:rRNA from 1 species
GACGAACGCUGGCGGCGUGCUUAACACAUGCAAGUCGAACGGACCUUAGCAUCAAGCUUGCUUAAUGCGAAAGGUUAGUGGCGGACGGGUGAGUAACACGUGGAUAAUCUGCCUAUGACACAGGGAUAACACUGUGAAAACGGUGCUAAUACCAGAUACGUUUAUCGAAUCGCAUGGUUUGAUAAAGAAAGGAGCAAUCCGGUCAUAGAUGAGUCCGCGGCUGAUUAGCUAGUUGGUGAGGUAACGGCUCACCAAGGCGAUGAUCAGUAGCCGGCCUGAGAGGGUGAACGGCCACACUGGGACUGAGACACGGCCCAGACUCCUACGGGAGGCAGCAGUGGGGAAUAUUGCACAAUGGAGGAAACUCUGAUGCAGCGACGCCGCGUGAGCGAUGAAGGUUUUCGAAUCGUAAAGCUCUGUCCUAAGGGACGAUAAUGACGGUACUUAGGGAGGAAGCCCCGGUAACUACGUGCCAGCAGACCG